ensembl:misc_RNA Metazoa_SRP Metazoan signal recognition particle RNA
ACCAGGUGUGGUGGCACACACCUGAAGUUCCAGCUACUAGGGAGGCUGAAAUGGGAGGAUUGCUUGAGCCCAGGAGUUUGAGGCUGUAAUGCACUAUGCCUGUGCCUAUGAAUAGCCAUUGCACUCCAGCCUGGGCAACAUAGUGAGACUCCGUCUCUU